UACAGGGGGUGCAAGCGUUAUUCGGAAUUACUGGGCGUAAAGAGCGCGUAGGCGGCUUGGUAAGUUUGAUGUGAAAGCCCCGGACUCAAUCCGGGAAGUGCAUCGAAUACUGCUAGGCUGGAGUACUGGAGAGGUGAGCGGAAUUCCUGGUGUAGAGGUGAAAUUCGUAGAUAUCAGGAGGAACAACAGAGGCGAAGGCGGCUCACUGGACAGUUACUGACGCUGAGGCGCGAAAGCGUGGGGAGCAAACAGG
rnacentral:rRNA from 1 species